GCAGGUAUGCUGGUGCAUGCCUGUAAUCCCAGCUACUUGGAGGCUGAUGUAGAGGAUCACAAGUUGGAAACUGUCCUCAGCAACUUAGUGAGACCCUGUGUCAA
rnacentral:sRNA from 1 species